AUGCCGCUCAACGCACCCGCGAACGCCCGGGCUGCUUUGUUCCUUUCUUUUCAUUCUUCUUACGAGAAGAAAACAAAGCAUCAAACACCGGGCUCCUCCUCCAGACGCGCGGCCACAUCUGGACACUGUGAGCUGACACGACGCACAUCUGGACCGUCUGCGCUCAGGUCACCGCUCCCACCGCGGGUCGCCACCCACCGAUCACCGGGUAACCACGGAUGUCUCCGCGCAGGUGGCGAUUCCCCUCCGAGGGGCGUCGCCUCACGCCGCGCUGUCGCUCUGAUGUCUGAGCGCCGCAGCGUUGUGGUUGUCGUGGUGACGGUUGGGCAUUUUUUACUCCGGCUUUCACUCUGCCUCCGACGGACCAGGGAGACGCCGGAUGGAGUAUUUCUGGAAACUCCUUCUUUUCCCAACACAGAAGGUGCUGAUGAUGGACUCCUGAAGCCACGGCGUCUUCUCUGGGAAACGGAGCACGUGAAGGUGUGUGUGAACACUCUUGUUUUGGAGGGCUGUGAUUAUUGUGCUCUUACCUACUAAAUACGCGACCACUUAAGAGGGAAACCACUCGUCCAAACAAAGGAAAGAACUGGUGGAAGCGACAGGAACUGGGCUGUUACUGGUGGAAUCCCAUUGAACGAUAAAGAGGCUUUAUUCACCUCGUGGACCAGCUUUAUGUGACCAAGAGCUCGAGGGAGCAGGAGACACCGAGUGGAGAUGAACGUCUGCAUGUGGGCUCCUCGUUUCACAGAGCAAAUGUGUUCCAGUCGAGUUCCAAGUUCCAAAAAUAGCCCCUUUGUGUUGGCGGUAAAUUGGACGUAGAUGGAAUCUUUUUUAAGACUAUCUCAGUACAGCAAGAGAAGAAGAAGAAGAAGAAUAGACUCUGUGAUUUGCGUUUGAUCAAAAGUGAGAGAAUAAGAAAUAAAGCCAUUGAUUAGCAGCUGGAUGGCAGUGACUUGACUUUAUCUCAUCACGUCCAUCAGAGGGAUGGACGGGGUUUUGGUCCAGGCGUUCAUGUUCCCCAGAGGAUUAAGCCCCCCCGGACCUACCUACGGCCGCCGUGAUGUUGAAUGGAAGUUGUUCACCCUGUUGAUGACCCCCGAUGUUUCUUUUAGCACCAUCAUGAGGUCACCAACUUAGUUUGGCCUCCCAAACGUCCCCUCGUUCCUCCUCGUUCCUCCUCUUGACCAGCAGCCCGAUGACUCACCGGCUGGCAGCACUCAUUGUCUGGCUUGUGCUGUUCGGGCUUGCGGUGGACGCUCUCUAUUGUUGCUUUGUUUCGCCGUUGACCGUUUUCUCUUUCUCUGCUGGUUACUAAGCGGCUCUGAGGGGCUUCACCGAGGGUCCCACUCAAAUGGCCAUUUUAUGUUCCCGUGAAAACAUCGCUUGCAAGAUCGCAUGUGAAACUUGCACGCCUGACGUUCCUGUGGAGCCUCCUCCACUCUCCUCCGUGCCUUUGUGUUCCCACAUCCAGCAGAUACUCUACCCCAGACGCUAGCUAAAAAACUACAUUACGAGGUGACUCCUGUGCUGUUUGAUGCUAAUUAGCGUUGUGAGCUAGUUCUCUCUGUUGGUCUUAGGAGCUGGCAGCAUGUUUCUGUUCAGCCUGGAUGUUGACUACUAAGUUUCCCGUGUUUGAUAGAUCAGAUUUCCACAUCAGGACCAAUCUGGAUGAAACAGAUGUUUUUAUUUCCCUCCGUUGUGUCAUGCUGCGUCGCGUGCUGCCCACACCGAGUGUUGCAUAAGGCCAUUCAAACGGUUUGUUUAGUUGAGCCAAUGAGGGUUUUUCUAUAAAUAAAAGCAGUCUGUUCUUUUUCUGUUUUCAGAGCGU
ensembl:lncRNA